GCUGGCGGCGUGCAUAACACAUUCAAGUCGAACGGUGAUGAGGACUUCGGUCCUCUGAUCAGUGGCGACGGGUGAGUAACGCGUGAGCAACCUGCCCUAUAUUGCGGGAUAACAACCGGAAACAGUUGCUAAUACCGCAUGACGUAUUCGGAUCGCAUGUUCUGAAUACCAAAGAAUUUUGAUAUAGGAUGGGCUCGCGUCCGAUUAGGCAGUUGGUGGGGGUUAAACGGGCCCACCAAACCGACGAUCGGUAGCCGAACUGAGAGGUUGAACGGCCACAUUGGAACUGAGAUACGGUCCAGACUCCUACGGGAGGCAGCAGUGGGGAAUAUUGGGCAAUGGGCGAAAGCCUGACCCAGCGACGCCGCGUGAGGGAAGAAGGUCUUCGGAUUGUAAACCUCUUUCAGCAGGGAAGAAGCAAGUGACGGUACCUGCAGAAGAAGUCACGGCUAACUACGUG
rnacentral:rRNA from 1 species